rnacentral:rRNA from 1 species
AACCCCGGCGAGGGGAGUGAAAAAGAACCUGAAACCGUGUACGUACAAGCAGUGGGAGCACCCUUUGGGGUGUGACUGCGUACCUUUUGUAUAAUGGGUCAGCGACUUAUAUUCUGUAGCAAGGUUAACCGAAUAGGGGAGCCGGAGGGAAACCGAGUCUUAAUUGGGCGUUAAGUUGCAGGGUAUAGACCCGAAACCCGGUGAUCUAGCCAUGGGCAGGUUGAAGGUUGGGUAACACUAACUGGAGGACCGAACCGACUAAUGUUGAAAAAUUAGCGGAUGACCUGUGGCUGGGGGUGAAAGGCCAAUCAAACCGGGAGAUAGCUGGUUCUCCCCGAAAGCUAUUUAGGUAGCGCCUCGUGAAUUCAUCUCCGGGGGUAGAGCACUGUUUCGGCUAGGGGGCCAUCCCGGCUUACCAACCCGAUGCAAACUGCGAAUACCGGAGAAUGUUAUCACGGGAGACACACGGCGGGUGCUAACGUCCGUCGUGAAGAGGGAAACAACCCAGACCGCCAGCUAAGGUCCCAAAGUCAUAGUUAAGUGGGAAACGAUGUGGGAAGGCCCAGACAGCCAGGAUGUUGGCUUAGAAGCAGCCAUCAUUUAAAGAAAGCGUAAUAGCUCACUGGUCGAGUCGGCCUGCGCGGAAGAUGUAACGGGGCUAAACUAUGCACCGAAGCUGCGGCAGCGACACUAUGUGUUGUUGGGUAGGGGAGCGUUCUGUAAGCCUGUGAAGGUGUGUCGUGAGGCAUGCUGGAGGUAUCAGAAGUGCGAAUGCUGACAUAAGUAACGAUAAAGCGGGUGAAAAGCCCGCUCGCCGGAAGACCAAGGGUUCCUGUCCAACGUUAAUCGGGGCAGGGUGAGUCGACCCCUAAGGCGAGGCCGAAAGGCGUAGUCGAUGGGAAACGGGUUAAUAUUCCCGUACUUGGUGUUACUGCGAAGGGGGGACGGAGAAGGCUAUGUUGGCCGGGCGACGGUUGUCCCGGUUUAAGCGUGUAGGUGUGUGUUCCAGGUAAAUCCGGUU